CUGUUGCCACUGUUGUCGUGCCUCCCACCACCAAUGUGUACCUGCAAGGCAUGAAGCACCUCUUGACUCCUGCCACACCGCCACCGUCCGCCGCUUUCGGCGGGGGCGGGCCGGCGAUGCCGUCUGUCUCCAUCGUGGAGGAGUACUACACUAGCAAGAAGGGUCCCUUGUUCGCCACCGCCGUGGUGGCCGGCACCAACGCCGUUAAGCAGGUGAGCUCGCUCGUCCCCUUUUGCUAUCCGACGCCGAUCCAGCGCUGCUCUUUCACCUUCCGUCGUCGCCAGGUUCUCCAACCGCCGCGACCGGCGCAGAUGCCACAUCGGGUGGUGCUGCGUCGCCGAACCUCGGAGCCGGGCCCGCAGCAGAGCCGGCCCGAAUACAGCGUCCUCUACUGCUUCUGCACCGUCGCCACGGAGAACAAAGGAGGGGUGGAGAUGGAGGCACUGACGGGGGCUAUGAUGGCCAGCGUCACCCUCUACGACAUGUUGAAGGGCCUGCCAGGAGCACAGGAGGAUGGCUUGAGCCUGGGGGAGGCCUUCGUACUUGCCAAGCGUGGCGGCCGCAAUGACUUCACCAAGCUGCUGAUGUCCGAGCCUGAGCGCCCGCUCGUGGAGAGUGGUCUGUGCUCUGGAGGAGCGGAAAUGCACGCCCUCCCGCCGAUCAGCGGCGCUGUGAAUGGGGGUGGCGUACAGCUACCUACAGGCGCCACGCACGCAUCGCCGUCUGCCGCGACUGGUACCGACACUUCGAGGGCAACAACGCUGGACGCCAAUGGACAUGCCUCGGCAAAUGCGGAGCAAGCGCGAGUGGAGGGCCAGGGGGCGUCUGAAGAGGUGGCUGAAGAGAAGGACCACCACUCGGCAGCGAAGCGUGUGAUACGCCGCCCAGCGCCUGCGGCAGCAACCGCUCAUGAUGUCGUCGAUGGCUCUGCUGCCCCUGGCGAUGCUGACGCGUGGUGGCGCUCCUCAAAGCAUGAGAAGAGGUUGCAAGAGCUCUACCCGCGUCGCAAGUACGGUGACAAUGCACGCCUCGUUCCACCGAGCCCCACGCCAAUGACCCCAGUCAGCCCUGUAACGAGGGCACGCACGCGCACGGGCCCUUCGGCGUCCUCAGACAGCGGCGCUGAGGUGGCUGCGGCACCUGCUGCUGUUUUGGCUGCGCGGCCGAAGCUGGCGUCCAGGGCGAGUAUGAUCCGCGAUGGACAAGCCUCCGCAGCAGGCAAGGGGCCAGCCGCAACGGCCGCGCUGCCCAAAGCCGCUCGCAGGCCUGAGCCUACAGGCAUCAUCGAUGAGGCAGAUGAGGCCGACGAGGAGGACGACGUGGUAGAGCACCGCCGGUCACCGAAUCGUAGCCGGCUGGCCAAGAAGUCUGCACGGGCAGCUGCCUCCGCAGUCGAGGCCGACGAUGAGGACGAUGAUAAGCUGGAAGCCGCAGCUGCAGAGGAGGAGGAGGCUGACGAAGAGGCGACGACGACUACAGCCACUGCAGUCGAUGAGGCCGACGAAGAGGAAGGGACCGCGAUGACGGCAGCCGCCAAAAAGCGCAGGCGCAGCACGGCGGUCACGGCGGCGCCCAAGAGCCAUGCCACCACUAUCGCCGCCAAGUCGUCGUUCUCUGGAAAACGCACCCAGACAGGGCACAAGGGCUACCUCGCAGCGGUGGACGAUGAGGCUGCAACCGCUGAAGAGGACGAGGACGUCGCAGAGGACGACGAAGGUGCGGACGAGGAGGCGCGCAUGCCGGUCAAGGGCGGUGCAGCGGCAGCUACACGCAAAACACAUGCCCACGGCGGCGUGACAGGAAGGCGGACGGGCAAGGGCGCUAUCGAGCUCCCUUCACGCACCUUUGGAGCCAGCGGCCGCAAGCAGCGCGCGGGGCGCGUUACACCUAGAAAAGGUCGAGCGUCAGCAGAGCCGGACGACUAUCAUGACGACGGGGACAUGAGCGCCCUUGAGGAGAGAGAAGACGGCAUCGAGGAGGGCGACACUGCAGCAGGGGGCGAGGACGACAAUGCCGUAUCUGCUGCUGUUGAAAGGCGGCGUGGCAAAGCAGCAGUGAAGCAGAUCCGCCCAGCCGCGCCGAAGAAGGGCGGAGCCAUGCGGCCUGUCCGGCACGACUCCUGGGAUGUGGGUUUCAGUCGGCGGAGCCGCCACGACACCGGCGACGGCGACGAAAGGCACGAAGACGCAGUGGAGGAUGAGGAGGCGGCAGAGACUAUCGAUGAGGACGGCGAAGAGGACGAGGUGGAGGACGUGGCACCACCGCCGCCGCGCAAGAAACUGAAGAAGCCGCUGAAGCGUGCAGCACUGAAGAGGCGGUAGGCGAUCAGCAUCGGCGAGAGGACGGCGGGGAGGAGGAGGAUCACACAGCCUGCGCCAGCAAUAUUCACGCGCGCGGGUGCACGUGCCAUGCCGCAUUGGAUGAUGACUCUACCACUCAUACAACGCCCAGUAAGGUUUCCUCCCUUCCCACCGUGAGCGGCUGCGCAGCCAGUACCCUCUCUCCAUCAUCCGACACGAGAACAUGAUAACGAGACGAAACAAAGGAGUACGCCGUCAUCAGUGCGAGCGAUGGGGAAGCGAGAGGUGCUUCAUUGCGGAGCAUCUGUGCAACCCUCUUUCGCCUUCUCUCUCCGUCUAUGUUGCUCCUGCUGCUCCCCUUUCAUGUGUGCCUGCAUGCGUCUGUUCCAGGGUACGCGAACGAUGUCGGCGCACCCCCCCCCCGCCUCACACUCUCUGCACCUCUGUCACUCCCUCUGCCUCUGUGCGUGUGCGCCGUGCGUCAUUCCCUCUUGUGCUCCUUUUUUGACCUUGUCUCCCUAGACGGCCCAUUAUAGCCGUUGAGCUACUUAGCUGC
rnacentral:misc_RNA from 1 species